GUCCCUGUAGCGCAAUGGACAUCUAAUCCAAAGGUCGUGGGUUUGAAUCCCACCUGGGAUG
rnacentral:tRNA from 1 species